CAGUCGCCGCGGGAAUACGGAGGGAGCUAGCGUUAUUCGGAAUUACUGGGCGUAAAGCGCACGUAGGCGGCUUUGUAAGUUAGAGGUGAAAGCCUGGAGCUCAACUCCAGAAUUGCCUUUAAUACUGCAUCGCUUGAAUCCAGGAGAGGUGAGUGGAAUUCCGAGUGUAGAGGUGAAAUUCGUAGAUAUUCGGAAGAACACCAGUGGCGAAGGCGGCUCACUGGACUGGUAUUGACGCUGAGGUGCGAAAGCGUGGGGAGCAAACAGGAUUAGAUACCCGUGUAGUCCCUGUCUCUUAUAC
rnacentral:rRNA from 1 species